rnacentral:rRNA from 1 species
UAGAGUUUGAUCCUGGCUCAGAACGAACGCUGGCGGCGUGCCUAACACAUGCAAGUCGAACGGAGUGAAGGAGCUUGCUCUUUCAUUUAGUGGCGCACGGGUGAGUAACGCGUAGAUAAUCUGCCUUGGACUCUGGGAUAACAUCUCGAAAGGGGUGCUAAUACCGGAUAAGCCCACGAUGGCGUAAGUCAUUGCGGGAAAAGGGGGCCUCUGAAUAUGCUCCUGAUUCAAGAUGAGUCUGCGUACCACUAGCUAGUUGGUAGGGUAAGAGCCUACCAAGGCGACGAUGGUUAGCUGGUCUGAGAGGAUGAUCAGCCACACUGGAACUGAGACACGGUCCAGACUCCUACGGGAGGCAGCAGUGGGGAAUUUUGCGCAAUGGGGGAAACCCUGACGCAGCAACGCCGCGUGAGUGAUGAAGGCUUUCGGGUCGUAAAGCUCUGUCUAGAGGGAAGAAAUGAUAGUCGGUUAAUACCCGGUUUUCUUGACGGUACCUCUGAAGGAAGCACCGGCUAACUCCGUGCCAGCAGCCGCGGUAA